GACGAACGCUGGCGGCGUGCUUAACACAUGCAAGUCGAACGGAAAGGCCCUGCUUUUGUGGGGUGCUCGAGUGGCGAACGGGUGAGUAACACGUGAGUAACCUGCCCUUGACUUUGGGAUAACUUCAGGAAACUGGGGCUCAUACCGGAUAGGAGCUCCUGCUGCAUGGUGGGGGUUGGAAAGUUUCGGCGGUUGGGGAUGGACUCGCGGCUUAUCAGCUUGUUGGUGGGGUAGUGGCUUACCAAGGCUUUGACGGGUAGCCGGCCUGAGAGGGUGACCGGCCACAUUGGGACUGAGAUACGGACCAGACUCCUACGGGAGGCAGCAGUGGGGAAUAUUGCACAAUGGGCGGAAGCCUGAUGCAGCAACGCCGCGUGCGGGAUGACGGCCUUCGGGGUGUAAACCGCUUUCGCCUGUGACGAAGCGUGAGUGACGGUAAUGGGUAAAGAAGCACCGGCUAACUACGUG
rnacentral:rRNA from 1 species